rnacentral:rRNA from 1 species
UACGUAGGCAGCGAGCGUUGUUCGGAGUUACUGGGCGUAAAGGGUGUGUAGGCGGUUGUCUAAGUUUGGUGUGAAAUCUCCCGGCUCAACUGGGAGGGUGCGCCGAAUACUGAAUGACUAGAGUGCGGGAGAGGAAAGUGGAAUUCCUGGUGUAGCGGUGAAAUGCGCAGAUAUCAGGAGGAACACCGGUGGCGAAGGCGGCGACCUGGUCCGAUACUGACGCUGAGGCGCGAAAGCGUGGGGAGCAAACAGG